rnacentral:rRNA from 1 species
GAGCGGCGUACGGGUGCGUAACACGUGUGCAACCUACCUUUAUCUGGAGGAUAGCCUUUCGAAAGGAAGAUUAAUACUCCAUAAUAUAUUGAAUGGCAUCAUUUAAUAUUGAAAACUCCGGUGGAUAGAGAUGGGCACGCGCAAGAUUAGAUAGUUGGUGAGGUAACGGCUCACCAAGUCAUUGAUCUUUAGGGGUCCUGAGAGGGAGAUCCCCCACACUGGUACUGAGACACGGACCAGACUCCUACGGGAGGCAGCAGUGAGGAAUAUUGGACAAUGGGUGAAAGCCUGAUCCAGCCAUCCCGCGUGAAGGAUGACGGUCCUACGGAUUGUAAACUUCUUUUGUAUAGGGAUAAACCCAGAUACGUGUAUCUGGCUGAAGGUACUAUACGAAUAAGCACCGGCUAACUCCGUGCCAGCAGCCGCGGUAAUACGGAGGGUGCAAGCGUUAUCCGGAUUUAUUGGGUUUAAAGGGUCCGCAGGCGGGCCGAUAAGUCAGUGGUGAAAUCUCAUAGCUUAACUAUGAAACUGCCAUUGAUACUGUCGGUCUUGAGUAAAUUAGAGGUAGCUGGAAUAAGUAGUGUAGCGGUGAAA